GUGUGUGUGUGUGUGUGUGUGUGUGUGUGUGUGUGUUGUCAUGUAGGCUAUAGAUAUAGACUGAUUGUCUUGGAUUGCAUCCAUGAAAUAUUGUAAUGUUAUGGCCUAGGCUUACUGCAUAUUGAGGAUAUUUAGAUCGGUAUCGCCAGAGAAUGUCUAAUAUGAGGAGAACUGGCACUCGCGGGUUAUUUCCGGGUUUCUGGACUGGUUGCAGUAAUAAUCUUUGACCACGCGGGGCGCUCGUAGGCGAGUCCAGAAUGAAUGGGAGCCAACGGGGUUUUAUCCUCAGAAUCCACUUUUCUCACGAUGUAAUUUUUUGUCAAGUAAUUUUAAAGUUGCUAUCAAAGGGUGGGGCUAAGAUAAUAAACUCAGCUGAAUAUUGCAUUUUUUAAGGUCACGUAUCUGUUCUAAAAAGGCGUUAAAAACAUGCGAUGACGUCACACACUGUAAUACUGUCAGAGGUACUGCUUUACGGUAGUUUCUAAAGCACUUCCCUUGUCCCGCAACGAUAACACCAGCUGUUGGAGUCGGACCUUGAUGCUGUGACAACGGACAAGUCUUCUUCCUCUGUCCUUUUCCCCUGCCUCUGUUCAGUAUGUUCAGUGUUGUUAAAUCAUCUUUUUUUUUAUUAGUUACUGUUCUUAUUGUGUUCUUGUUAGUGUGAUUUUUGAAUAAACUUGCCUGUUGCAAUGUUGGUAUAAUGUUUGUAUAAUUACUGUUAUACAACUGUUACUGUUUCAAUGUGACCCAGACCAUAUUUCUCAUUUAACAAACAUGUGUAGCUUAUAAUGUGUUGCAUGGCAGAGCAAUUACGGUAUAU